CCUACGGGAGGCAGCAGUGGGGAAUUUUGGACAAUGGGCGCAAGCCUGAUCCAGCCAUGCCGCGUGAGUGAAGAAGGCCUUCGGGUUGUAAAGCUCUUUCGGCUGGGAAGAAAUCGCAUCUCCUAAUACGGGGUGUGGAUGACGGUACCAGCAUAAGAAGCACCGGCUAACUACGUGCCAGCAGCCGCGGUAAU
rnacentral:rRNA from 1 species